UAGGGAAUUUUUCACAAUGAGCGAAAGCUUGAUGGAGCAAUGCCGCGUGAACGAUGAAGGUCUUUAAGAUUGUAAAGUUCUUUUAUUUGGGAAGAAUGACUUUAGCAGGUAAUGGCUAGAGUUUGACUGUACCAUUUUGAAUAAGUGACGACUAAUUAUGUGCCAGCAGUCGCGGUAAUACAUAGGUCGCAAGCGUUAUCCGGAUUUAUUGGGCGUAAAGCAAGCGCAGGCGGAUUGAAAAGUCUGGUGUUAAAGGCAGCUGCUUAACAGUUGUAUGCAUUGGAAACUAUUAAUCUAGAGUGUGGUAGGGAGUUUUGGAAUUUCAUGUGGAGCGGUGAAAUGCGUAGAUAUAUGAAGGAACACCAGUGGCGAAGGCGAAAACUUAGGCCAUUACUGACGCUUAGGCUUGAAAGUGUGGGGAGCAAAUAGGAUUAGAUACCCUAGUAGUCCACACCGUAAACGAUAGAUACUAGCUGUCGGGGCGAUCCCCUCGGUAGUGAAGUUAACACAUUAAGUAUCUCGCCUGGGUAGUACAUUCGCAAGAAUG
rnacentral:rRNA from 1 species